UUUGUUUGUUUUUUUGAGACAGAGUCUUCCUAUGUAGUUCAGGCUGGCCUUGAACUCACUAUGUAGCCCAGGCUAGCCUCAAACUCAUGGCAAUCUUCCUGUCUCAGGCU
rnacentral:miRNA from 1 species